GCUAAGAAUAUUCCGCAAUGGACGAAAGUCUGACGGAGCGACGCCGCGUGGAUGAAGAAGGCCGAAAGGUUGUAAAGUUCUUUUGUUGGGGAAGAAUAACCAUGGGAGGGAAUGCCCGUGGGAUGACAUGAACCGACGAAUAAGCCCCGGCUAACUACGUGCCAGCAGCCGCGGUAACACGUAGGGGGCGAGCGUUGUUCGGAAUUACUGGGCGUAAAGGGCAUGUAGGCGGUCUUGUAAGCUUGGCGUGAAAGACCACGGCUCAACCGUGGGAUUGCGUUGAGAACUGCGAGGCUUGAGUGACGGAGAGGGAGCUAGAAUUCCUGGUGUAGGGGUGGAAUCUGUAGAGAUCAGGAAGAAUACCAAUGGCGAAGGCAAGCUCCUGGCCGAUGACUGACGCUGAGGUGCGAAAGUGUGGGGAUCAAACAGGAUUAGAAACCCUGGUAGUCC
rnacentral:rRNA from 1 species